AGAGUUUGAUCCUGGCUCAGGACGAACGCUGGCGGCGUGCUUAACACAUGCAAGUCGAGCGAAGGAAUACUUAGGAAGCCUUCGGGAAGAAUACGUAUUUCUUAGCGGCGGACGGGUGAGUAACGCGUGAGGAAUCUGCCUCGCACAAGGGGAUAGCCUCGGGAAACCGGGAUUAAUACCCUAUGAUACUUACACUGCGCAUGCAGAGUAAGUUAAAGGAUAUCGGUGUGAGAUGGCCUCGCGUCCCAUUAGCUUGUUGGCAGGGUAAAAGCCUACCAAGGCGACGAUGGGUAGCCGGCCUGAGAGGGUGAACGGCCACAUUGGAACUGAGACACGGUCCAGACUCCUACGGGAGGCAGCAGUGGGGAAUAUUGCACAAUGGAGGGAACUCUGAUGCAGCAACGCCGCGUGAGCGAAGAAGGUUUUAGGAUCGUAAAGCUCUGUCCUAGGGGAAGAUAAUGACGGUACCCGAGGAGGAAGCCCCGGCUAACUACGUGCCAGCAGCCGCGGUAAUACGUAGGGGGCGAGCGUUGUCCGGAAUUAUUGGGCGUAAAGGGUGCGUAGGCGGCUGAAUAAGUCAGAUGUGAAAGGUUAAGGCUUAACUUUAAUAAGCAUAUGAAACUGUUCAGCUUGAGUUAAGGAGAGGGGAGUGGAAUUCCUAGUGUAGCGGUGAAAUGCGUAGAUAUUAGGAGGAAUACCAGUGGCGAAGGCGACUCUCUGGACUUAAACUGACGCUGAGGCACGAAAGCGUGGGGAGCAAACAGGAUUAGAUACCCUGGUAGUCCACGCCGUAAACGAUGAGUGCUAGGUGUUGGGUGUCAAAGCUCAGUGCCGCAGCUAACGCAAUAAGCACUCCGCCUGGGGAGUACGAUGGCAACAUUGAAACUCAAAGGAAUUGACGGGGACCCGCACAAGCAGCGGAGCAUGUGGUUUAAUUCGAUGCAACGCGAAGAACCUUACCAAGGCUUGACAUCCCUCUGAGAUAGGUAGAGAUACUUAUGGCUUUUAGGAGACAGAGGAGACAGGUGGUGCAUGGUUGUCGUCAGCUCGUGUCGUGAGAUGUUGGGUUAAGUCCCGCAACGAGCGCAACCCUUACUUUUAGUUACUAACAGG
rnacentral:rRNA from 1 species